UCUUUUCCGUAGACGGGAACCGAGCUGGUUUCUUCUCUGUUAAUGAGUCAAUAAUUAGCGUUCAUUAACUGGAGUAAACCAGCUCUGGUCUCGUUUGGAAAA
rnacentral:pre_miRNA from 13 species